GGCGACCUCUGCGUAGUAAUACAGCUCGCACCGGAACCCCGACGCGGCCACGCCGUAAAACACCCAACUUCUGAACGUGACCUCGAAUCACGUAGGACUACCCGCUGAACUUAAGCAUAUCAAUAAGCGGAGGA
rnacentral:rRNA from 1 species